GUAAAAUAACUUUUUAAUACAUUAACAAUCCUUUAUAUAUGCCAACAUCAUAUAUAUAGAGAGAGAGAAGAAAAAAUGGGACAAAUGAAAUAAUAAAAAAUUAUAUAUCUUUUUUAUAUAUAAUAUUAUAUAUGCAUAUUGAUUCAUAUUUAGUUCUAUAUUUUAAUUAUUCUAUUAUUUCUUUAAAAUUAUAUAUAUAAGCGCAUACAAGUACGUACGAAACCAUUAUACAUUACUAUUUUUUUUUUUUUUUUUUAAUUUACCUAAAAUUUUAUAAUAAUUCAUUUUUUAAAUAAGUAAAGUUCUAAUAUAUCCUUUUGUAAUUUUUGUAAAAUAUAAUUCUUAGCUGAAAAUAUAUACCUAUAUAAGUUCAUUAAAUUAGUAAGUAAUUCACAUCUUUUGAAAAGAAAAAAUGGCAAUAUUUUGGCGGUUAUUUUAUUCGUUCUUACGUUUCUUUGUUUAUUUACUUAUUUAUUUAAUUGUUUAAUUGGUUAAUUGUUUUAUUGGUUAAUUGGUUAAUUGGUUAAUUGUUUUAUUGGUCAACUGUUUUAUUGGUUAAUUGUUUUAUUGGUCAACUGUUUUAUUGCUUUAUUGUUUAAUUAUUUAUUUAUUUAUUUUACUUUGUGCUUAUUUUUUCCGUUACAUGUACAUUUGCUUAUUUAUUUAUCCGUUUAUUUUGCUCUUAUUUUUUUAUUUGUUUUGUAUAUAUAUAUAUAAUUUUUUUUUUUUUUUUAAAUUUAAUUUAAAGAUACUUUUACAUAUAAACUAUCAAUAAAAAUAAAACAUGCUAUUUUUUUUAUGAACAUUUAAGAAAAAAUAAAAUAAUGUACCUCAAUCCGAGUAAAAUAAAAUUAAUGCGAAUAAAAACACCUGUCACUACUUUAAUAAUAAUUCAACAUUUUAUAUACAUAUAUAUAUACAUUUUUUUUUUUUUUUUUUUUUUUUUUUUUUUGUGGGUGCGGCAAUAUUUUUUUCAUUGAAAGAGAAAAAAGAUGUAUUCAGAAAGAUGCACAAUACAUUGAAAAUGAAAAACACGCAUAAUAUAAUGUAUGUAUAUAUAUAUAUACGUGUUUUUAUACAUAAAUUUUUCUACAAGGAGAAAACAAUUUAUAUAUUACAACUACAAUGUA
rnacentral:lncRNA from 1 species